AGCAGAAUCUAUUUUAAAUUUUAUAAUUAAACUAUGCUGAAAAUUUUCUAAGCAUUAUUGCCACUUUUUUUACAGGGCAUUUUUUUACUUGUAGAAGAGUCCCUGAUGUUUUGGUUCCAAAUGCUACAGCCUUAGAAGAUGACAAAAUCACAAACAGAUGUUGGAAAUGCCCAGGACAUCCAACCCUAGCAUAGCUUUUUCAAAAAUAAUUUCCAAUCUAAUUUGGUUUGUUGGUCUUGUUUCUUUUUUAUGCCUUAUCAUUAAACCCACAUCAAACUUCUUGGCUUGACACAGAACAGGAAGUUUGUAAGUUUAAGUGUUCAAGGCCAGGUUGGAUGGAGCUUCAAGCAAGAGCCCUGUCCAUGCCCGUGACAGAAAGAUGGGAUUAGAUGAUUUUCAAAUCUCCUUUCCAACCAAUCCGUUCUAUGACGUCUAGAGGAGGACAAAAAGAAGUACAUACCUUUCUGCCUUUCACUUUUGGAAUCAAAACUUUGGGACCUGAUCCAUGGAAUUGCCAUAGUAGAAUUCAAUAUGGAAGGAAAAGAAACCUUAUUCAGUGUGUGUAGAACCCAGAAGCAGUUUUCCUGCUGACUCAGACUGUUGGAUGUUGAGGUUGUCUAAGGUAAAAUCACUUCUAAUUUCAGGUAAUGUAAUUUCAUUUUUGCAGUUCAGAUUGCUGUCAAAGCAUAGGGCAAUCUUUCUUUUAUGCAAAUGUUUUUCAUGUUUGAGAAUGCCCCAGCAAGAAGUAUUAAAGGGGCUCAGCUAAAAAGGGGUUGGGUUUGAUUCUUUGUUUCUGCAUUAGCUGGCACAAUGGGGUUAAGAAGUACUAUAAUUCAAGUCAGAAAAGCUAAUGAGAAGACAGUAAUGCAGUUGGCAAGAUGUUUGCUGCUUUUGUAGGAAAGAAAUGUAAUAAAACCCCCCACAAUUUGCA
rnacentral:lncRNA from 1 species